AUCCAACUGACGAGUCUUAAAUAGAACGAAACGCAUGUCCUGGAU
rnacentral:hammerhead_ribozyme from 1 species